UACGAAGGGGGCUAGCGUUGCUCGGAAUCACUGGGCGUAAAGGGUGCGUAGGCGGGUCUUUAAGUCAGGGGUGAAAUCCUGGAGCUCAACUCCAGAACUGCCUUUGAUACUGAAGAUCUUGAGUCCGGGAGAGGUGAGUGGAACUGCGAGUGUGGAGGUGAAAUUCGUAGAUAUUCGCAAGAACACCAGUGGCGAAGGCGGCUCACUGGCCCGGUACUGACGCUGAGGCACGAAAGCGUGGGGAGCAAACAGG
rnacentral:rRNA from 1 species